AACUCUUCUGAANGUUGACCUCGAAUCAGGUAGGAAUACCCGCUGAACUUAAGCAUAUCAAUAAGCGGAGGAAAAGAAACCAACAGGGAUUGCCCCAGUAACGGCGAGUGAAGCGGCAACAGCUCAAAUUUGAAAUCUGGCUCUCGGGCCCGAGUUGUAAUUUGUAGAGGAUGCUUUUGGUGAGGUGCCUUCCGAGUUCCCUGGAACGGGACGCCAUAGAGGGUGAGAGCCCCGUCUGGUUGGACGCCGAACCUCUGUAAAGCUCCUUCGACGAGUCGAGUAGUUUGGGAAUGCUGCUCUAAAUGGGAGGUAUAUGUCUUCUAAAGCUAAAUACCGGCCAGAGACCGAUAGCGCACAAGUAGAGUGAUCGAAAGAUGAAAAGAACUUUGAAAAGAGAGUUAAACAGUACGUGAAAUUGUUGAAAGGGAAGCGCUUGUGACCAGACUUGGGCUUGGUUGAUCAUCCGGGGUUCUCCCCGGUGCACUCUUCCGGCCCAGGCCAGCAUCAGUUCGCCCUGGGGGAUAAAGGCUUCGGGAACGUGGCUCUCUCCGGGGAGUGUUA
rnacentral:rRNA from 1 species